GUAAGUUGUGUUUUGUUAUUAAUGGUGAAGAGCUGCUGUUUGGUGUGAUGCUGAUCUUCUGCGGGAGGAUGGAGCUACACUGAGGGAUGGAGGGAUAGAGUAAUGGAGAGAUGGAGUGAUGGUGAGAGAUGGUGAGAGAAUGGAGCUCUGUGCUUUCUUAAAUUAUAAUUCAACCGAUUUAUAAAACCAUCAAAUAUUACAUUCCUUAAACAUCUCCAGCUUUAAUUCAGAAACACUAACUGUAUUUGCUGUAUUAGUAUGUUUUUGUUUAGAUGUAAUUAGUUAGUUUGUUAAUGCUAGUUGCUGUUUUUAGUGUUUUGCAUUAAAAUUACCCAUGUUUUCUCUCUCUCUUUUUUAUCUCCUGCAGAAACUUUGCCAUCUUUUCUCUUGUUUCUAGUGUUCUUUUGAAAAUACAACACUAUGCACGGAUAUAAACGCCGCAUAGAGGAACUUUACUGAAAUCCACUCCUAUUUACUGAGGAUGGAGCUUCACUGAGAGAUAGAAAGAUGCUGAGAAUGGUGAAUGAUGGAAUGUUCCAAGUCUGGCUCUGAUUCUACUCUUCUUCUCUCCAUUCCAUCAAUAAGAGGAACACUGCUCUAAUUAAGGGAAGUUUAUUGUUGAGAGAAG
rnacentral:lncRNA from 1 species